rnacentral:rRNA from 1 species
CCUACGGGUGGCAGCAGUGAGGAAUAUUGGUCAAUGGACGAGAGUCUGAACCAGCCAAGUAGCGUGAAGGAUGAAUGCCCUCGGGGUUGUAAACUUCUUUUAUAUGGGAAUAAAAUGUUCCACGUGUGGGAUUUUGUAUGUACCAUAUGAAUACGGAUCGGCUAACUCCGUGCCAGCAGCCGCGGUAAUACGGAGGAUCCGAGCGUUAUUCGGAUUUAUUGGGUUUAAAGGGAGCGUAGGUGGAUUGUUAAGUCAGUUGUGAAAGUGUGCGGCUCAACCGUAAAAUUGCAGUUGAAACUGGCAGUCUGGAGUACAGUAGAGGUGGGCGGAAUUCGUGGUGUAGCGGUGAAAUGCUUAGAUAUCAGGAAGAACUCCGAUUGCGAAGGCAGUUCACUGGACUGCAACUGACACUGAGGCUCGAAAGUGUGGGUAGCAAACAGGAUUAGAUACCCCUGUAGUC